rnacentral:lncRNA from 1 species
CCCAGCUGCUCGACGAAAUGCAACAACCACUUUCAUUGCGCCAAUAUAUGGGCAACCAAAUGAAGAACCAUCCCAAAUUCAUAAGAAACCAGUUCAUCAAGUUACAUGGCAAGAAUCAGGUCAGAAAAAUGAUGCUCAUACUUUGCACUCUGCUAAAAAUACACGAAUUGUUGACCUCAGUGCUAAUGCUGCGCACACAAAGCAAACACACAUUGAAAUGUCCCCUGUUAAUGAGGUAUAUGCACUUCCAUCCCACGCUACUAAGGCUAAUGUUAAUAACACCUCAAACAAUACUCUUGUGACCCUUAAUCCACAGAUGAAUAACCACACAUCUCAAGCACCCCAGCCAGCUCGCAUAAAACCACAUUAUACAACUACAGGAGGUUUCAUCCAAAGAUUUCAUACGACACGCUACAGCUUCACAAAUUGGUUCCAGGUAUACUGUAGCGCCUACUCGUCUGGAAUCCACAAACAUCCAUCGAAUAAACACUUCGCCAAAUCAAAGAACAUAAAAAAUAGCGCAAAACAAUCCUCUCGAUAUUGCGCAUACAACCCAGGGUAUUUCAACACAAAAAUCAACCCCAGCUGCUGCGAUUUAUCAACAAAGUGACACAGCUACUGUCAAACCUCAGCGACUGGGUUCUAACGCCAAUCUCCAGAACAAUUCUGGGCUAAGUCCUGCAAUUCAAAUCGAUGGAGACGGUAUUCAAGCUCAAGAAAUCCGUCAAUACCAACAAUCUACUAAUUCCAUCGCUAAAAUCAGUUAUUCUGAUGCCCUGCAACACUCGCAAGAGGUCCAAAUGGGCGGACACAAUGUUCCUAUGGGUCAAACUGAUAUAAAUUAAUGUCGAUUGAUUAAUGAUGAUGCAAAUCCCUCAAUUAACACUCCACUUGCCAUUUCACCGGAGAUAGUCGCUACAACAUUAAAGAACAAAACUCAUGCAGAAUUGUGUGCCCCAGCUGCUCGACGAAAUGCAACAACCACUUUCAUUGCGCCAAUAUAUGGGCAACCAAAUGAAGAACCAUCCCAAAUUCAUAGGAAACCAGUUCAUCAAGUUACAUGGCAAGAAUCAGGUCAGAAAAAUGAUGCUCAUACUUUGCACUCUGCUAAGAAUACAAGAAUUGUUGACCUCAGUGCUAAUGUUGCGCACACAAAGCAAACACACAUUGAAAUGUCCCCUGUUAAUGAGGUAUAUGCACUUCCAUCCCACGCUACUAAGGCUAAUGUUAAUAACACCUCAAACAAUACUCUUGUGACCC